GGGAAUAUAGCUUAGCAGUAGAGCAUUUGCUUAGCAUGCACAAGGGCCUGGGUUCAAUCCCCAGCGCUGCCA
rnacentral:tRNA from 1 species